AGGUGCGAUCAUACCAGCAAUAAUGCACCGGAUCCCAUCAGAACUCCGCAGUGAAGCGUGCUUGGGCGAGAGUUGUACAAGGAUGGGUGACCUUCAGGGAAGUCCUCGAGCUGCACCCC
rfam:Gossypium arboreum cultivar AKA8401 contig_48272_1, whole genome shotgun sequence.